rnacentral:rRNA from 1 species
AGCAGUAGCCGCGGUAAUACGUAGGUGGCAAGCGUUGUCCGGAAUUAUUGGGCGUAAAGGGCUCGCAGGCGGUUUCCUAAGUCCGAUGUGAAAGCCCCCGGCUCAACCGGGGAGGGUCAUUGGAAACUGGGAAACUUGAGUGCAGAAGAGGAGAGUGGAAUUCCACGUGUAGCUGUGAAAUGCGUAGAGAUGUGGAGGAACACCAGUGGCGAAGGCGACUCUCUGGUCUGUAACUGACGCUGAGGAGCGGAAGCGUGGGGAGCGAACAGGAUUAGAGACCCCGGUAGUCCCUGUCUCUUAUAC